AUAUAAAGAACAUAUAUAUAUUUCAAAUAUUAAUUCAAAUUUCACAAUAAUGAAAAUGGUCAAUAAAAAAAAGGAAAUAAAAUCAUAUUAUCUUAUUCACUAAUAAAAAUAGCACUAAAUCCUACCAACUAUUUUCAAAACAAAAUUAGACCGAAGCUCUUGCCAAAGGUAAAAAAACUAUUGUUCUAACGCUAUGUAGUUGCAUUCUUCAAGUUCUUCGUGUGAACAAAGUUGUCCUAAGAUCCUCGAGUGCAAGAAUCAUAGAUUUUGACAACAUCUGCAAAGUGUCGCCUGAAAUAAAAAUUUAUACAGCCUUAGAUUUAUGUAAAAUUGCUUCUAAUAUAUAAUGAAGUAAAACUGCACUAUGUGUCGAAUAUCAUGGUCGAGCAAUCAUUUCAUCAAAUAGAUCUUCGAGAGUUUGAUAAUAAAAAUACACCUCAUGCAGGCUUGAAAUGCAUCAAAUAUGCAUAUUACGGAGAGCAUAUCGAGAGAAGUUGAUUCACAAAGGAUAAUGCAAAAACCUGUAAAGUGCAACAACAACUUAUCAAUUAAACACUCAAAAAACCACACUCCUACCAGAAAAGAACACAAAUAGAUCCACAUGUAUACAAAUUCCAAAAAAGAAAAAAACACAAAGUUCUAGAUUAUCAAUGCAAGCACCAAAGACUACUAAUACCUUCUCAACAAAGAACAAAAGGGUCGCUGAUAUUUCAUAACACAAGCAUAAUAUCAUGGCAUGCAUUUUCAUCGACUCUUAUGAACAACAUUGUUUCCCAAGGCAUCAAUAAUCAUGCUAAAUUGGAAAACCAAAAAAGAAAACCAACUGAGAAUAAAUACUACCAAAUACCAAUAGAAUGUUCUGAUCAGCUAAAGAUUCAUGCACUUUAUAUAAACUGGAUACUUAAUUUUAUCAUCAAAAUAAUAUAUAGAGAAAAUAAAAAUAAUAUCUUGAUGGUUACCUUUCUUUGCAUUUUAAAUAUCACCAGUUCAAUGCAAUAAGUUCAUCAUUGCAAUGCCACUUUUAUAGCCUUGGCGAAGAGAUUUCUAUUACUCUAGUGAAACA
rnacentral:lncRNA from 1 species